rnacentral:tRNA from 1 species
GCCGCCGUAGUGUAACGGCAGCACAGGGGCCUGUGGAGCCCCUAGACCGGGUUCGAUAGGCCGAGCGCGGCU